rnacentral:rRNA from 1 species
GGCGUCCUUACGGGCGUCCGCAUUGUAAUCUAUAGAGGCGUUUUCUGUGCUGGACCGUGUCCAAGUCCCUUGGAACAGGGUAUCAAAGAGGGUGACAAUCCCGUACUUGACACGACAACCAGUGCUCUGUGAUACGUCUUCUACGAGUCGAGUUGUUUGGGAAUGCAGCUCAAAAUGGGUGGUGAAUUCCAUCUAAAGCUAAAUAUUGGCGAGAGACCGAUAGCGAACAAGUACCGUGAGGGAAAGAUGAAAAGCACUUUGGAAAGAGAGUUAAACAGUAUGUGAAAUUGUUGAAAGGGAAACGAUGGAGGUCAGUCGUGUCUGUGGGAUUCAGCCGUCUCUGGCGGUGUACUUCCCACAGACGGGUCAACAUCAGUUUUGGUCGGCGGAUAAAGGCAGGAGGAAGGUGGCACCCCCGGGUGUGUUAUAGCCUCUUGUUGCAUACGCUGGCCGAGACUGAGGAAUGCAGCUCGCCUUUAUGGCCGGGGUUCGCCCACGUUCGAGCUUAGGAUGUUGACAUAAUGGCCUUCAACGACCC